ACCGUGGCUUUAGAUUGUAAGU
rnacentral:miRNA from 1 species